rnacentral:lncRNA from 1 species
AAGGCUGAGGCCCCGCCCCCGUCAUGGCGCCCGAGGAGAACGCGGGGAGCGAACUCUUGCUGCAGAGUUUCAAGCGCCGCUUCCUGGCAGCGCGCGCCCUGCGCUCCUUCCGCUGGCAGAGCUUAGAAGCAAAGUUAAGAGACUCAUCAGAUUCUGAGCUGCUGCGGGAUAUUUUGCAGAAGUAGACUGUGAAGCAUCCUGUGUGUGUGAAGCACCCGCCGUCAGUCAAGUAUGCCCGGUGCUUUCUCUCAGAACUCAUCAAAAAGACGUGCUGUAUUGCCCAGAAGCCAUCGUGUCGCUGGUCGGGGUCCUGCGGAGGCUGGCUGCCUGCCGGGAGCACCAGCGGGCUCCUCAAUUCUACAUGGCCCUUACCGUCUGCAACCCAGAGAUGUGCCAGCUGUUCACCACCGAGCUAUAGAGCACUUGGAGAUGGCAAAGCUGAACCUCACACUGUAGGACUCACACAUGACUCCAACGGGAUUGUGAGAAUUAAGUCACUCUCGUGGGAAGAAUUUUUAUAUGGGAAAGCGGAUAAAACUUUCAUUGGACUGGAAUGUUUGGAGAAUGUUAAAUUCCAAAUCAGGAACCACAAACUGCGCUCUAAUAAGACAUCGGCUAUCUAAGCAUGUGGGUUCCCCCUUUCUGCCAGCAGUUCUGGUUCUUAAGAAAAUCACCAUAAAUCAGACAUGAAAAUUCUGGCUCCAAAAAUAGCAUUUUCAUUGUGCAAAUAAAAACGUGUGUAUCAAGUAUGACAUUCCCCCAACGUGGACACACUUGGUUCCUCACAAAGCCAAGCCCGCUGCAGCUGCCACAUCCCUGGACACACUCGUUUCCUCACAAAGCCAAGCCCGCUGCAGCUGCCACAUCCCUGGACACACUCGGUUCCUCACAAAGCCAAGCCCGCUGCAGCUGCCACAUCCCUGGACACACUCGUUUCCUCACAAAGCCAAGCCCGCUGCAGCUGCCACAUCCCUGGACACACUCGUUUCCUCACAAAGCCAAGCCCGCUGCAGCUGCCACAUCCCUGGACACACUCGGUUCCUCAAAAAGCCAAGCCGGCUGCAGCUGCCACAUCCCUGGGUUUAUGAUGCAGCAGGUGCUUUUUUCAAGACAGGAAUCAAAGUGUUAGGAACAUGGCAGAAAGGUGACACCUGGAGACCAAAUGCAGGGUAAGGAGUACUGCAGAGGUCACAGGGAAGUCACAGAACAGUAAUACGCUAGCAGGGGCAUGGGGCGUGAAGAACAGAAGACAGGAAGCGUUUCAGAGACUCCAAAGAAGAAAUCAGGGCCAACCACAGCUUCCCGAGUCAUUCACCAGGUGGCACCACUGCCUUCAUUUCAGCUUCCGGCCACUGGGAGGCGCUGCUCGAAAGGGUUUGCCCUGAGACACCAAGAAGAAGCUGCGGGAAGGACAGCAGGGGCCCUGGGGUUUUAGCCUCUGGCCCAGGAGUUAUGUGUCCAUAACCAAAGGGAGCACAGUCUGCACCCAGCUCUCAUCCCAUCAGAGCUGCUGCGACUCCCGCAGGUUCUUCCAGAACUGGUUUAGCUUGCCUGCAGGAUCAGGAAAGUUUGAGAAAAGCAUCUGCAAAAUACUAAAGAGCAGAGCUUACUUCAUUGCCUGUCCCCACCCCAUCCCAGGUCACCACCUGGCUGAACCCAGGUCCCCGACCCAACAACAACCCCUCCCAAGUCCCUAACUCCCUCACUUGGACUUGAGACCCUUCACAACCCAGCAGCGCUCCGCCUCCAACUUGACAUCAUGCUUUCUGGAAACUUCCCCGUGUGUCCCACUUUCCCACACUUGGUGCGCUGGAGCACCUUCCGGCCUCUACAUGCUGUACGUUCCCCUGUGAGCACCCUCCUCUCAGCCUCUGGCCAACACAGUCCCACCCAUCUGUGGGUAACAAGGGGGUGUGGGUGUUCUUUUCAGCCUUGCUAAACUGUCUGAAUCAAGGAUCACAAACUACAGCCUGCAGGCCAAAUCCAGCCCACAGCCUGUGUUUGUAAAUAAAGCUUUAUUGGAACAAA